AUGAAAGCGUGGCUGGCAGGGUAUUCGCUGUGUGCUACAAUCUAUCCUCUGUUGGGGAGUUCACAUGAAUUCAACUUAAAGAAAACCCACUUAUUGGAAUAUUUGGAAAACAUGGAAAAGUGUAAAAAUGAAAAUAAAAAUUACCUAUAAUUGGAUAAAUCAGAGAUAAAUGCAGACAACAUUUUGGUAUGUAUCCUUCUUAUUCUUCUAUUCUUUUUUCUUUGUAAAGUAAUUAAAGGAAAAAUAAGAAAUACAGAUAAGAAUUUCCCAAGUCAUUACAUCGUCUAUGAGAAAUAGAUUUUAUUAUUUUAUUUUUUUAAGAUUUAUUUAUUAGAGAGAGAGUGCAGGUGCAGGCACAAACAUGCAAGUGUGUUGGAGGGGAGGGGCAGAAGGAGAGGGAGAGAAACUCAAGCAGAUUCUGGGCUGAGCCCUGAACCUGACCAUGCUCCAUCUCCAUAAGGAAGCUAAGCACAAGAGAUCAGACCUGAGCCAAAACCAAGAGUCUGUAGCUUUAACUGACUAUGCCACCCAGGGGCCCCUGAAAAUCAGAUUUUGAAUGAUGGUAGAUGAAUCCCAUCCUAUGGGUACAUGGGUAUAUCAUAUUUAAUUAACAAAUCACCUGAUGUAAUUCCAAUUUUUACUUCUAUAGAAUGAGUAUCCUUAAAGGAUAUAGCUUUUCAUUUCCUUUCAGCACCUGAAUCCUCUUUCUAGCUGGAGGGACCCCCUUACACACACACACACCCCACAGAAGCUGAAAGAUAUGGCUAUACUUGCUUCCCAGCCUCCUUUGCAGCUAGCACGAGGGCUCUCCUCCACCUUGAAUAGAAGGCUGGCACACUGAGGGAGACGGGCUAUGCAGAGUUCACGUGCUGAGAAGGGUGGCAGCUAGUUCCCCUUGUGGGCAGUGGCAGUGGUGCCAGCAGCAGCCUUGGCGAUGUCACUGAAUUAGAAAAGGUGACUAUUUCAAGUCUCUUUAUCCUUAUUUAGAUAUGCCCUCUGAAAGGCCGGCGAACUUACACUCCUGCAGUCAUGAGCAUACCCAGUCUCAGUCCCUUGUUUCUAAAAUGCAUUUCCGUAAGACACAUUACUCCAAAAGCUACUGCUAAAUAGGGAAGGGAGGUCAUGAGCAAUUUCAGCACAGUGGUCAACA
rnacentral:lncRNA from 12 species